rnacentral:rRNA from 1 species
GAUGAACGCUGGCGGCGUGCUUAACACAUGCAAGUCGAACGGGAAACCUUUUAUUGAAGCUUCGGCAGAUUUAGCUGGUUUCUAGUGGCGGACGGGUGAGUAACGCGUGGGUAACCUGCCUUAUACAGGGGGAUAACAACCAGAAAUGGUUGCUAAUACCGCAUAAGCGCACAGGGCCGCAUGGCCCGGUGUGAAAAACUCCGGUGGUAUAAGAUGGACCCGCGUUGGAUUAGCUAGUUGGCAGGGUAACGGCCUACCAAGGCGACGAUCCAUAGCCGGCCUGAGAGGGUGAACGGCCACAUUGGGACUGAGACACGGCCCAGACUCCUACGGGAGGCAGCAGUGGGGAAUAUUGCACAAUGGGGGAAACCCUGAUGCAGCGACGCCGCGUGAAGGAAGAAGUAUCUCGGUAUGUAAACUUCUAUCAGCAGGGAAGAUAGUGACGGUACCUGACUAAGAAGCCCCGGCUAACUACGUG